UUGGGGGGGGGGGGGUUGCAGGAUGUUAGAGAUAGGCUGAGGUGUAGGGGACAGAGCUCAGGAACUGGGCACGCACAGAUUGGAAAAUGCCUGUCCUGCUGCUAACAUGGCUGACGCUUCCCUGCUCGAAUCCACAGACUGCCCUGGUGGUUCUGUGCCUUCCCCUACAGCCUCCUAAUCUUCAUCUACGACGAGGUUCGGAAAUUCAUCCUCCGCCGACGUCCCGGAGGUUGGGUCGAACAGGAGACCUAUUACUGAGGCACAGUGCGUGUGUUCCCUUGGACAACUCUGCUCCUUCCCGCAGCCCUUGGAGCAGGAGGAGACCAGUCACAAGCUUAGUGUGGUAUCCCCUCCCUCUUUCCCCACCCCCCCCCUCCCCAUUUCCUCCUCCCACCUUCCAGUUAAUCAAAUGCAUUGAUAAAUCGCCACUUUUUUUCUGCACCGAUUUAAAUUAAACACAUUUCCUCCAAGCU